rnacentral:lncRNA from 1 species
CAGCACUAGGACCCUCCCACCCUGUGACUUCAGUACCUGGUAGUGAAAGAGUGCUCACUCUGUGUAUGAGGAAGGAGUGACUGGGCACAGGAGGCUUGAGCCAACAGAGAAUAGAAGACAGACAUAGAAGCCUAUAACACAAGGCUGAAAGUGACAGAUUCCACACAGGUCCUAAGAAAGGGCUCCUGGACACCACAGGAUGGAGAGGCCACAGAGACUAAAAAGACUCCAAACAAAUAUAUCUGCUGCUUAUGCUGUCUCUUCAG